AGCAACAACACAUUCACGGGGCGAUGCCAAAGCAUAUGUGUGCUCUCUCUUGCAACACAUUCCGUCCCCGAGUAUAUCGAUCCAUGACCGAGUGAAAUUAUCUUCUGUUUCGAGAGCAAGAUGAUUUGAGUGAAAUUAUCUUUAUCAAGAAAGCUGUCAAUUUCUCAGCAAGUCUUGUCCGUUCCUCCUCGACUUUAUUUGCCUCGUGGAUUUACAGGGUGUGGAGAAAUCAGCAUCCGAUGGUUUUCUGCUGCCGGUGGUCUUAGUUUUCUGUGGAGAAGUUCGAUAUGUCUAAUGAUGUGGAUCUGAUUGGAUAUACUACAUGCAUGGAAGCUGGCAUUCAUGGAG